CAAUAGCGUAUAUUUAAGUUGCUGCAGUUAAAAAGCUCGUAGUUGGAUUUCGGGUGGGAAUGGCCGGUCCGCCGUUUCGGUGUGCACUUGCUACGCCCACCUUGCUGCCGGGGACGUGCUCUUGAGUUCACGCUCGGGACACGGAGUCGGCGAGGUUACUUUGAGUCAAUUAGAGUGUUCAAAGCAGGCCUACGCUCUGAAUACAUUAGCAUGGAAUAACACGAUAGGACUCUGGCCUAUCUUGUUGGUCUGUAGGACCGGAGUAAUGAUUAAGAGGGACAGUCGGGGGCAUUCGUAUUUCAUUGUCAGAGGUGAAAUUCUUGGAUUUAUGAAAGACGAACUACUGCGAAAGCAUUUGCCAAGGAUGUUUUCAUUAA
rnacentral:rRNA from 1 species